AAAGCCUCUAAGCUUCAGUCUAACGAUGACCGUACCGCAAACCGACACAGGUGGGCGAGAUGAGUAUUCUAAGGCGCUUGAGAGAACUCGGGAGAAGGAACUCGGCAAAUUGGUACCGUAACUUCGGGAUAAGGUACGCCCUUGUAGCUUGACUGGCCUGCGCCAGGAGGGUGAAGGGGUUGCAAUAAACUGGUGGCUGCGACUGUUUAAUAAAAACACAGCACUCUGCAAACACGAAAGUGGACGUAUAGGGUGUGACGCCUGCCCGGUGCCGGAAGAUUAAAUGAUGGGGUGCAAGCUCUUGAUUGAAGUCCCGG
rnacentral:rRNA from 1 species